GGACCCGCACAAGCGGUGGAGCAUGUGGUUUAAUUCGAUGCAACGCGAAAAACCUUACCUAUACUUGACAUACUUGGAAUGCUUUGUAAUGAAGCAGUGCCUUCGGGAGCCAAGAUACAGGUGCUGCAUGGCUGUCGUCAGCUCGUGUCGUGAGAUGUUCCGUUAAGUCGGAUAACGAGCGCAACCCUUACCCUUAUUUGCCAGCGAUUCGGUCGGGAACUAUAAGGGGACUGCCGGUGAUAAACCGGAGGAAGGUGAGGACGACGUCAAGUCAUCAUGGCCCUUACGUAUAGGGCUACACACGUGCUACAAUGGAGAAUACAGACGGACGCUAAGCCGCGAGGUGGUGCUAAUCCUAGAAAAUUCUUCGUAGUCCGGAUUGGAGUCUGCAACUCGACUCCAUGAAGUCGGAAUCGCUAGUAAUCG
rnacentral:rRNA from 1 species